AUUGAACGCUGGCGGCAGGCCUAACACAUGCAAGUCGAGCGGAGCGGCGGACGGGUGAGUAAGGCCUAGGAAUCUGCCUGGUAGUGGGGGAUAACGUCAGGAAACGGGCGCUAAUACCGCAUACUAUCAGAUGAGCCUAGGUCGGAUUAGCUAGUUGGUGGGGUAAAGGCCUACCAAGGCGACGAUCCCUAACUGGUCUGAGAGGAUGAUCAGUCACACUGGAACUGAGACACGGUCCAGACUCCUACGGGAGGCAGCAGUGGGGAAUAUUGGACAAUGGGCGAAAGCCUGAUCCAGCCAUGCCGCGUGUGUGAAGAAGGUCUUCGGAUUGUAAAGCACUUUAAGUUGGGAGGCGUUACCAACAGAAUAAGCACCGGCUAACUUCGUGCCAGCAGCCGCGGUAAUUC
rnacentral:rRNA from 1 species